rnacentral:rRNA from 1 species
AUUUGUUUUAGCAAUUGUUUAUUAUAUUAUUAUUAGUAGGUAUAGCACUGAAUAUCUUAUAUGUAUGGAUAUAUAUAUAUAUAUAUAUAUAUAUAUAUAUAUCUAUAUGAGUAUGUAUGUAUGUAUGUACAUACAGAGGGAGUAUUGUUAAUACUUAUUUCGGAUAUUUAAUCUCAGAAUGAUUAAUAAGGUAAAAUAAAUAGUCAGACUUUUUGCGAUAAGGUAAAAAGUCGAAAGGA